rnacentral:sRNA from 1 species
GCUGGGCGUGGUGGUGUACACCUGUAACCCCAGUGGCUUGGGAGCCUGAGGCAGGAGGAUCAUGAAUUCACAGGCAAUGUCACUUAAAAGCCAGGUGCUAAGCAACUCAUUGAGACCCUAUCUCUA